rnacentral:rRNA from 1 species
GACGAACGCUGGCGGCGUGCUUAACACAUGCAAGUCGAACGAAGAGCGAUGGAAGCUUGCCUCUCUCAAUCUUCGUGGCGCACGGGUGAGUAACGCGUAAUCAACCUCCCCUUCAGAGUGUGACAACAGUUGGAAACGACUGCUAAUACCGCAUACGACCUCAUCUCGGCAUCGAGGAUAGAUGAAAGGUAGCUUCUACAUGUAAGCUAUCACUGCAGGUGGGGAGUGCGUUUGAUUGGUCAGUUGGAGGGGUAACGGCACACCCAGGCGAUGAUCAGUAGCGGGACGGGGAGGGAGAACGGGCACACUUGGACUGAGACACGGCCCAGACUCAUACGGGAGGCAGCAGAGGGGAAGCGUCCGAAAGAGAAGAAAGUCUGACGGAGCAACGCCGCGGGAGUGAGGACGACCAUCGGGUUAUGAAGCUCAGUUAAUCGGGACGAAAGGACUUCUUGAGAAUAGUGAGAAUGAUUGACGGUACCGGAAUAGAAAGCCACGGCUAACUACGUG